UACGUAGGGUGCGAGCGUUAAUCGGAAUUACUGGGCGUAAAGCGUGCGUAGACGGUCAUGUAAGUCGGGUGUGAAAGCCCCGGGCUCAACCUGGGAAUUGCAUUCGAGACUGCAUGGCUAGGAUGCGGAAGAGGGAAGCGGAAUUUCCGGUGUAGCGGUGAAAUGCGUAGAUAUCGGAAGGAACACCAGUGGCGAAAGCGGCUUCCUGGUCCAGCAUCGACGUUCAGGCACGAAAGCGUGGGGGGCAAACAGG
rnacentral:rRNA from 1 species